GACGAACGCUGGCGGCGUGCUUAACACAUGCAAGUCGAACGGAAAGGCCCUUCGGGGUACUCGAGUGGCGAACGGGUGAGUAACACGUGGGUGAUCUGCCCUGCACUUUGGGAUAAGCCUGGGAAACUGGGUCUAAUACCGAAUAUGACCGCGCUCUUCAUGGGGUGUGGUGGAAAGCUUUUGCGGUGUGGGAUGGGCCCGCGGCCUAUCAGCUUGUUGGUGGGGUAAUGGCCUACCAAGGCGACGACGGGUAGCCGGCCUGAGAGGGUGACCGGCCACGCUGGGACUGAGAUACGGCCCUGACUCCUACGGGAGGCAGCAGUGGGGAAUAUUGCACAAUGGGCGCAAGCCUGAUGCAGCGACGCCGCGUGAGGGAUGACGGCCUUCGGGUUGUAAACCUCUUUCAAUAGGGACGAAGCGCAAGUGACGGUACCUAUAGAAGAAGGACCGGCCAACUACGUGCCAGCCGCCGCCGUAA
rnacentral:rRNA from 1 species